rnacentral:rRNA from 1 species
GACGAACGCUGGCGGCGUGCUUAACACAUGCCAGUCGAACGGUGAACUCCGCUUGCGGGGGGAUCAGUGGCGAACGGGUGAGUAACACGUGGGCAACCUGCCCUCAGCUCUGGGAUAACUCCAAGAAAUUGGGGCUAAUACCGGAUAUGACCGCUGACCGCAUGGUCUGGUGGUGGAAAGAUUUAUCGGCUGGGGAUGGGCCCGCGGCCUAUCAGCUUGUUGGUGGGGUAGUGGCCUACCAAGGCGACGACGGGUAGCCGGCCUGAGAGGGUGACCGGCCACACGGGGACUGAGACACGGCCCAGACUCCUACGGGAGGCAGCAGUGGGGAAUAUUGCGCAAUGGGCGAAAGCCUGACGCAGCGACGCCGCGUGGGGGAUGACGGCCUUCGGGUGGUAAACCUCUUUCAGCAGGGACGAAGCGAAAGUGACGGUACCUGCAGAAGAAGCACCGGCCAACUACGU